rnacentral:rRNA from 1 species
CGAGCGCACCCUCACUUUUAGUUGCCAUCAUUAAGUUGGGCACUCUGAAAGAACUGCCAGUGAUAAGCUGGAGGAAGGUGGGGAUGACGUCAAGUCCUCAUGGCCCUUACGUGUUGGGCUACACACGUGCUACAAUGGCAUCUACAACAGGAAGCAAAACGGCAACGUUAAGCAAAUCCCGAAAAGAUGCCUCAGUUCGGAUUGCACUCUGCAACUCGAGUGCAUGAAGCUGGAAUUACUAGUAAUCGUGGAUCAGCGUGCCACGGUGAAUGCGUUCCCGGGUCUUGCACACACCGCCCGU